AGUGAACGCUGGCGGUAGGCCUAACACAUGCAAGUCGAACGGCAGCACAGUAAGAGCUUGCUCUUACGGGUGGCGAGUGGCGGACGGGUGAGGAAUACAUCGGAAUCUACUUUUUCGUGGGGGAUAACGUAGGGAAACUUACGCUAAUACCGCAUACGACCUACGGGUGAAAGCAGGGGAUCUUCGGACCUUGCGCGAUUGAAUGAGCCGAUGUCGGAUUAGCUAGUUGGCGGGGUAAAGGCCCACCAAGGCGACGAUCCGUAGCUGGUCUGAGAGGAUGAUCAGCCACGCUGGAACUGAGACACGGUCCAGACUCCUACGGGAGGCAGCAGUGGGGAAUAUUGGACAAUGGGCGCAAGCCUGAUCCAGCCAUACCGCGUGGGUGAAGAAGGCCUUCGGGUUGUAAAGCCCUUUUGUUGGGAAAGAAAAGCAGCAGGUUAAUACCCCGCUGUUCUGACGGUACCCAAAGAAUAAACACCGGCUAACUUCGU
rnacentral:rRNA from 1 species